CAUAAAUAAAUAAAUCUAUAUAAUAAGGAAGCUCAGAUUUUUGAAUCUGGAUGGGACUUUUGUCCCUUUGUCCAAAUUUUGACCAUUAGAUUGAUUUGAUCUAAGGGCUAAAAACAUCUCACUUUCAUCUCUUUCAACACACACUCUCUCAACACAUACCCUCUCUCUCUCACACAUACUCCUCUCCUCUGUUCUGUUUUCAAAUUUUGAACACACUCUCUCUCUCUCUCCCUCCAUUGGAGCCCAUUCCCGUGCUUCCCUGUCGAAACCCAACUCUUGCCGUGCUUCCCUGUCUUCAUCUUCUCUCUUCCUCCCUCCCUCUCUGCCAUUUUGAACACUCUCUCUCUCUCUCUCCCUCCAUUGGAGCCCAUUCCCGUGCUUCCCUGUCGAAACCCAACUCUUGCCGUGCUUCCCUGUCUUCAUCUUCUCUCUUCCUCCCUCCCUCUCUGCCGUCAACAAGGGAGUCGUCACUGCAGGAACCGGACCGAAGUCUGUCCCCGGCCAAGCCAAUAUAUAUUAUUAUGAAGGGGAAGAAGACAGUUGCAGAUGUUAUGCCAAUUGCUACAGGUCAUGAGCGUGAAGAACUUUAGGCCGAACUCAAGGUUUGAAGCAUUGAGUCUGAAGCAUUGUGGACUUCCUUAAGACCUUUCAUAUCCAAACAAGGUUUUGGCAAUAUUAAGCUGGAACAACCUCUAACAUUAUGGAU